UACAGAGGUCCCGAGCGUUGUUCGGAUUCACUGGGCGUAAAGGGUGCGUAGGUGGUUGGGUAAGUCUGAUGUGAAAUCUCCGGGCUCAACCCGGAAAUGGCAUUGGAUACUAUUCGGCUAGAGGUUUGGAGGGGGGACUGGAAUUCUCGGUGUAGCAGUGAAAUGCGUAGAUAUCUGGAGGAACACCGGUGGCGAAGGCGGCAUCCUGGACCGGUAUUGACGCUGAGGCGCGAAAGCCAGGGGAGCAAACGGG
rnacentral:rRNA from 1 species